GUAGCUGUAGCUCAAUGGUAGAGCAUCUGCUUUACAUUUAGGAGGUCCCAGGUUCAAUCCCCAAUGUUUUCAGCUGGGACU